GCGCCCAUAGCUCAGCUGGAUAGAGCAACGGCCUUCUAAGCCGCAGGUCGGGGGUUCGAAUCCUCCUGGGCGCGCCA
rnacentral:tRNA from 2 species